AACGAACGCUGGCGGCGUGCCUAACACAUGCAAGUCGAACGAGAAAGUCCUUCGGGGCGAGUAGAGUGGCGCACGGGUGAGUAAUGCAUGGGAACGUACCUAUAGGUGGGGGAUAACCACGGGAAACUGUGGCUAAUACCGCAUAGUCUCGAAAGAGUAAAGGUGGCUUAAAACCCAUUAUCAAAACACUUUAUUAGCUUAGAGUGUUUGAGUAGUGGGUUUGCUAUCGCCAAUAGAUCGGCCCAUGUCCCAUUAGCUUGUUGGUGGGGUAAUAGCCUACCAAGGCUACGAUGGGUAGCUGGUUUGAGAGGAUGAUCAGCCACACUGGAACUGAGACACGGUCCAGACUCCUACGGGAGGCAGCAGUGGGGAAUAUUGCACAAUGGGGGAAACCCUGAUGCAGCAACGCCGCGUGAGUGAAGAAGGCUCUUGGGUCGUAAAGCUCUUUCGGCUGGAAAGAUGGAAAUUAAGGCGAAUAGUCUUAGCUUCUGACGGUACCAGAAGAAGAAGGACCUGCUAACUACGUGCCAGCAGCAGCGGUAAUACGUGGGGUCCAAGCGUUGUUCGGAAUUACUGGGCGUAAAGCGCGCGCAGACGGACAUGAUUGUCGGUUGUGAAAGCCCUGGGCUUAACCCAGGAAUUGCAGCCGAAACGUUAUGUCUUGAGUGCCUGAGAGGGUGGGGGAAUUCCUGGUGGAGUAGUGAAAUACGUAGAGAUCAGGAGGAACACCGGAGGCGAAAGCGCCUACCUGGCGGUGCACUGACGUUGAGGCGCGAAAGCGUGGGGAUCAAACAGG
rnacentral:rRNA from 1 species